AACGCUGGCGGCAUGCCUAACACAUGCAAGUCGAACGAGACCUUCGGGUCUAGUGGCGCACGGGUGCGUAACGCGUGGGAACCUGCCUUUAGGUUCGGAAUAACUCAGAGAAAUUUGAGCUAAUACCGGAUAAUGUCUUCGGACCAAAGAUUUAUCGCCUUUAGAUGGGCCCGCGUUGGAUUAGCUAGUUGGUGGGGUAAAGGCCUACCAAGGCGACGAUCCAUAGCUGGUCUGAGAGGAUGAUCAGCCACACUGGGACUGAGACACGGCCCAGACUCCUACGGGAGGCAGCAGUGGGGAAUAUUGGACAAUGGGGCGAAAGCCUGAUCCAGCAAUGCCGCGUGAGUGAUGAAGGCCUUAGGGUUGUAAAGCUCUUUUACCCGAGAUGAUAAUGACAGUAUCGGGAGAAUAAGCUCCGGCUAACUCCGUG
rnacentral:rRNA from 1 species